UUAAGUUCAGCGGGUAGUCCUACCUGAUUUGAGGUCAGAAUUUCAAAAGUGUUGACCGCCAACUCCAACGGGCAGGGGUCUGCGGAAGGACGCGACAAAGGGGAACGUCUCGGGUAAGAGCGAGGAUGGUACAACGCCCAGUCGAGUUCGACCCACAGGUCCAACCGAUGCAUUUGAGGGGAGCAGCCUUGCGGCAGCAA
rnacentral:misc_RNA from 1 species